UACGUAGGGAGCAAGCGUUGUCCGGAAUCAUUGGGCGUAAAGCGCGCGUAGGUGGCCUCAUAAGUCCGCUGUGAAAGUCAAAGGCUCAACCUUUGAAAGCCGGUGGAUACUGUGGGGCUAGAGUACGGAAGAGGCGAGUGGAAUUCCUAGUGUAGAGGUGAAAUUCGUAGAUAUUAGGAAGAACACCAGUGGCGAAGGCGGCUCACUGGCCCGGUACUGACGCUGAGGCGCGAAAGCGUGGGGAGCAAACAGG
rnacentral:rRNA from 1 species